GAUGAACGCUGGCGGCGUGCUUAACACAUGCAAGUCGAACGGAAAGGCUCCUGCUUGCAGGGGUACUCGAGUGGCGAACGGGUGAGUAACACGUGGGUGAUCUGCCCUGCACUUCGGGAUAAGCCUGGGAAACUGGGUCUAAUACCGGAUAGGACGAUGGUUUGGAUGCCAUUGUGGAAAGUUUUUUCGGUGUGGGAUGAGCUCGCGGCCUAUCAGCUUGUUGGUGGGGUAAUGGCCUACCAAGGCGUCGACGGGUAGCCGGCCUGAGAGGGUGUACGGCCACAUUGGGAUUGAGAUACGGCCCAGACUCCUACGGGAGGCAGCAGUGGGGAAUAUUGCACAAUGGGCGAAAGCCUGAUGCAGCGACGCCGCGUGGGGGAUGACGGCCUUCGGGUUGUAAACUCCUUUCGCUAGGGACGAAGCGCAAGUGACGGUACCUGGAGAAGAAGCACCGGCUAACUACGUG
rnacentral:rRNA from 1 species